GAUGAACGCUGGCGGCGUGCCUAAUACAUGCAAGUCGAGCGAACAGACGAGGAGCUUGCUCCUUUGACGUUAGCGGCGGACGGGUGAGUAACACGUGGGUAACCUACCUAUAAGACUGGGAUAACUUCGGGAAACCGGAGCUAAUACCGGAUAAUAUUUCGAACCGCAUGGUUCGAUAGUGAAAGAUGGCUUUGCUAUCACUUAUAGAUGGACCUGCGCCGUAUUAGCUAGUUGGUAAGGUAACGGCUUACCAAGGCAACGAUACGUAGCCGACCUGAGAGGUGGAUCGGCCACACUGGAACUGAGACACGGUCCAGACUCCUACGGGAGGCAGCAGUAGGGAACCUUCCGCAAUGGGCGAAAGCCUGACGGAGCAACGCCGCGUGAGUGAUGAAGGUCUUCGGAUCGUAAAACUCUGUUAUUAGGGAAGAGCAAAUGUGUAAGUAACUGUGCACGUCUUGACGGUACCUAAUCAGAAAGCCACGGCUAACUACGUG
rnacentral:rRNA from 1 species